CAAAGCUGCAAGUUAACACAAAAUCAGUGGGGAGGGACUAGCUGGGAACCAAUUUUUCUUUGUACAAGCAAUUAGAUUGGAACACUUUCUGCUUGUAGGUCAGAUUUAAUCUGAUGCUCCCCAAGAGGAGAGAUUCCUUAUCGGUUCUUAACCCCUCCCCCUUCCAGGCCCCCAGAGAACAGCAAGAAUAGUGGCUUGAGAGCAUUUGCCCUCCUUCAUGCCUUCUUCAGUCAGGCAGCUUAUCUGCUGCACCUCAGGGCACUUCUGAAAAACAGAUAACCCUCUCUCCUUGGGUUGUCCAAAGCUGCAGAAAAGGCCUCUUUUCAAAUGGAGCAUUAAUGACUCCCAUGCCAAUAUGUAAGAUACAUUUCUUCAAGCAACGAUGAUGGGUGGGCAGCAUUUUCAGUCUUGGAGGGUACUCCAGAAAACCAGAGCGGGUGUCAGGAGUCAGAAGGGAAGUGUAUCCUCAAGGGACAUCUGUAUGGUAUUUCCCCUACCUACCCUAUCAGCCAAGAUCACAGGAGACUUCAUCAAAGCUGGCAGCAAUCAUCACUUCCCAUUAUUACCGGCAGAGAAAAUGAGGUGCAGGGAAGCCCCCAAGGGCAGAGAGAGGAAUUAAACCCCACCCCGAGUGAGGCUGCUCACCCUCAGGGAAGGAGGAUCCGGCAUGGAGGUGCUAAUGUGCCUAAUAAAACCAUCAUGGUAGGAAAGUGUCAGAAGUCUCUUUUUCCGAUGGACUCCAUCUAAAUACCAGUCCUCCAUGGCAGCACAUGUUUAGGCUAUACAACUAGGAAAGGAAUGGAUCUUUGCAUUUACUUCACUUCCCGAACGAAUCUCCUCCAUGGCUGACCGCGGGGCGCCUGGGGAGCUGGGCUGGGAGCACCCACAGCCGCCCAGGGAGCCAGCUCCAGAGCAGAGGAGAGCACACUGUCAUGCAAAGCAACUGCCAAGUACUUUAGGAUCCGAUAUGGAAAGCGAAAAUGAAAGAGGAGCCAGAUUUCCUUGGGAGAUAGGGCUGGCGGGUCUGGGAGGUGAAGGCUUUCUGACCUGGCAGGUGAUCGCCAUCCCCAGAGGAUGCUGCAAAGCAAGGCCCCCGAUAGCCACCUGCCUUCGAGCAACACUGCAAACCCUCCUCCACUUCCAAGAAGAUAAAACCAGUCUGCAGAAGUCAUAUGUUUACGCUGAUUUAGAUACAGCUGGCGUGCUGGGAGCUGAAGGUAAUUUAUUUCUCUUGGCUGAUGACCUGCUCCCUUUGAGGGCUGCGUUUUCCAAGCGCUCUUUGCUUGGCCGCAACAUUUGUACCUCUGACAAUUAUUGUUAUUUUAAUAUUAAGCUAAGAGCUAAUAUAUUAGGCUAAUAUAUUAAGCUGGUAGCCUGUAGACUCUUUAGCGAGUCUGUUUUGGUGACACAUGAAGGAGAUUUUAUAGACAGGCUGUUCAAACCCAGCUCAACCCUAGUCUGGCAUUUAACUGCAGCUUGCAGAAUAUAAUGGCUGAAUGCGUUUAGCCCAU